rnacentral:snoRNA from 1 species
GUUGAGGCUCUGUCUGUAGACCCACAUCUUUGGAAAUGCCUCAUAGAGUAACUGUGGUCUGAUUGACUCGCAGACCUAUUGGUUGGAUCUGUGAGAAAGAACUACAAGACGUGU